GACGAACGCUGGCGGCGUGCUUAACACAUGCAAGUCGAACGAACAGACCCUGCUUUUGUUGCGUGCUCGAUUGGCGAACGCGGGAGUAAAACGUGAGUAACCUGCCCUUGACUUAGGGAUAACUUCUGGGAACUGCGGCUCAUACCCGGUAGAAUCUCCUGCAGCAUGGUGUGGGUUGGUAAGAGUCGGCGGUUGGGGAUGGACUCGCGGCUUAUCAGCUUGUUGGUGGGGUUGGGGCUUACCAAGGCUUUGACGGGUAGCCGGCCUGAGAGGGUGACCGGCCACAUUGGGACUGAGAUACGGCCCAGACUGCUACGGGAGGCAGCAGUGGGGAAUAUUGCACAACGGGCGGAAGCCUGAUGCAGCAACGCCGCGUGCGGGAUGACGGCCUUCGGGUGGUAAACCGCUGUGGACUGUGACGAAGCGUGAGUGACGGUAAUGGGUAAAGAAGCACCGGCUAACUACGUG
rnacentral:rRNA from 1 species